CGCUGAGUUUGAUCCUGGCUCAGGAUGAACGCUAGCGGCGGGCUUAAUACAUGCAAGUCAAGGGGUAGCAAUACACCGGCGUACGGGUGCGUAACGCGUAUGGAACCUGCCCUUAUCUGGGGGAUAACUCGGGGAAACUCGAGCUAAUACCGCAUAAGAUAGUAGAAUGGCAUCAUUCAGCUAUUAAAGAUUUAUUGGAUAAGGAUGGCCAUGCGUAAGAUUAGAUAGUUGGCGAGGUAACGGCUCACCAAGCCAACGAUCUGUAGCUGGUCUGAGAGGACGACCAGCCACACUGGAACUGAGACACGGUCCAGACUCCGUACGGGAGGCAGCAGUGGGGAAUUUUGGACAUGGACGCAAGUCUGAUCCAGCCCAUUCCCGCGUGCAGGA
rnacentral:rRNA from 1 species